rnacentral:rRNA from 1 species
UACGGGGGGGUAAGCGUUGUUCGGAAUUACUGGGCGUAAAGGGCUCGUAGGUGGCCAACUAAGUCAGACGUGAAAUCCCUCGGCUUAACCGGGGAACUGCGUCUGAUACUGGAUGGCUUGAGUUUGGGAGAGGGAUGCGGAAUUCCGGGUGUAGCGGUGGAAUGCGUAGAGAUCCGGAAGAACACCGGUGGCGAAGGCGGUUGGCUGGGCCGUGGCUGACACUGAUGCGCGACAGCGUGGGGAGCAAACAGG